GCCCGGGUGGCGGAAUGGCAGACGCGUCGGUCUCAAAAACCGAUAUCGAAAGGUGUGUGAGUUCGAAUCUCACCCCGGGCACCA
rnacentral:tRNA from 1 species